AAAUACGGCGGCAUGCGAUCCUGCCACCGGCCGGGUUGAGCGAUCCACGAAAAUCGAAACGCGCUUGCGCAGCGCCCAUGUAUGCUGAAAUUGCAAACAUUUCUAACAGUGUUGAAUAUUUAAUUUUUAUGAAAAUAAUUCACAAAAUAUUUUCCAUUUUAUUAACAAAGAUUAAAAUUUUUCGUUUAUAUACUCUUUCGCAGCACGAAUGUCUAAAAACACUUUAAUGUUACAGUCCCAAAAUUAAAUCUGUAUGGGAAGGGGUUGAAGUAGAUCGGGGAACUGUGGUCGAUUCGAUUUGUCUGGCACCGCGUGCGAAAGAGACAGACUUCAGUCAACUUCAGUUCUGCAACGGAGGUGCAUAGAACCAACAGCAUACUUGACUCGGUCCCUCAUAGCUGUGUUUAAUUUUCUCUAUAGCUCAGUGGAACUGGACCCGUUUCAUUUCUAAUUUCAUUCGAUCCACCAAAAUUCGGCUUUCUUUGGUCUUUUCAAGUUUUCGAUGUUUGUGACCAGCAACUGAUUUCGGUGAUAAACAAUCCCAAAUAGGGAUCAUUAAAAAAAAGUAAGUACAUAUUUUCAGUGUU